GUCUGGGUCACCUAAGGCCAGAUGAGUUGCCCUGCCUUCUAGAAUACUGCAACAGCAUCCCUACUGUCACUGCUGUGGUGACUACGGUAACAGAGACUGGGAUGGAGGAGGGUGGAGCAGUGAGCACACAGCUGGUGGGUCUGAACUGAGGGAAGAUAAAUUCCCUCAAUUCAUGGGGUGGCUUGAAGACUAACUUGGGAAUGGAAGGGGCAAUGUCAGAGUCAAGCCCACCCAACUCUUCUGCAUCUAUAGUGAGCAACGUCUGCAGUGCAGUAUCUGGAAGGACCGGUCCUGGCCGGCUGUAUGUCCAACACGUGAACACCUUGCAGAUCGCAAAGGCCUAUUUGCCAACUGUCACUAUCCCUUGGACUUAGAGUGACACUGGAAUGGGAAACCACUCCUUAGGUCCUUCAGCUCCUUCCGGCCAGCACGAAGCAGGCUGUGUCUUGUUACCGUGAAGGAGUGUUAAGAGCACCCUGGAGACCAAGCUGAAGAAGGUGACAAGAGCCUAUGCACAGAUCUCCUCAAACAGCAGGUUUGGGGACAGAGGCCCUCACGGGUGGAGAUUCUGAGAGUCCAUGUGACAGAGCCUCACAGGCUAGUCUGCAUUAGGCCUCUGUGUGUGGACCCAAGGACAGGGACGGACAGCUUCUGCCAGCUGCCUGUCAUGCGCCCGUGUUUCCUUGUGUGUCCUAUGGCACAAAGCUUACACCCUGGCUCUCCUCCCAUCUCCCAACACACCCUGAGCAAAGACUGCCUCCGCUCUUUGUUGUGUUCAAGGAGACCUGAGCCAAAAUGAAGCAUCCCACAUCUGGAAGCUGCUAUUCCUUAAGAAGUGAGCGUCCUGCCAGACACUGGUGGUACACGCCUUUGACCCCAGCACUCAGGAGGCAGAAGCAAG